rnacentral:misc_RNA from 1 species
AGCAACAGAAAAGCUUCAAAUCUCUGGUCCAAUCAAAGAGUUUGGUCAAUAAUGGGGCUGAAAAUAUUGGCUACUCUGUGAUACAAGGAAGUGCUGGCAACAGUUAUGAUAUAGUAGUUGCUGUGAGGCAAAAGGACGAAUAUGGCAGUCCUCUUCAGAGCAAACCCUCCAGACAAAUUUCUCGCGAGUCCAGCGAUUCAGAAGCCAAUGAGAAGACACUUAGGAUUGAAAGUUUGCCUUCAAAACCUGAAGGCUUGAUGACGUAUGGACCCUGGGGUGGAACUUCUGGCGGAUCCGUUUUCGACGAUGGAACCUACACAGGAAUUAGGCAAAUUUAUGUAUCACGCAAUAUUGGAAUUGUAUACAUAAGAGUUCAAUAUGAUCGUGAUGGGCAAGCUGUCUGGGGAAGCAAACAUGGAGGGACUGGAGGAUUUAAAACUGACAAGAUCGUGUUAGAUUAUCCAUAUGAAAUACUCACACAAGUAUCAGGGACCUAUGGUCCCUUAAUGUACAUGGGACCGAAUAUUAUCAAGUCGCUUACUUUCCACACCAACAAGGGGAAGCAUGGGCCAUUUGGAGAAGAACAAGGCCCCUCUUUCUCCAACAAACCAAACGAAGGAAAGAUUGUUGGAUUCCAUGGGAGGGAGGGUUUUUUCCUAGACGCUAUUGGUGUACAUGUGAUGGAAGGGAAAGUGAAGCCUGCUAAGCAUUAUCUUUCUGAUGCAAUUGUCCAAGCAGAAGUACCUGUUGCUGAGAUUGAUAAUUCUCCUUGGUCUAAUAAGCUGGUAGUAGCUAAGAGGGGACCAACAGAAGAGGUUGCUUGCUCCGUGGUAAAAGAGCCAGCUCCAUGCGGUCCAGGUCCUUGGGGUGGUGAUGGAGGAAGGCCAUGGGAUGAUGGAGUAUUUUCUGGGAUCAAGCAGAUAUUCAUAACCAGAGCUGAAGCUAUUUGCUCAAUACAGAUUGAGUACGAUCGAAAUGGACAAUCUGUGUGGUCAGUGAAACAUGGAGGCAGUGGAGGAACAGCCACCAACAGGGUGAAAUUAGAGUUCCCACAUGAAGUAUUAAUACGCAUAUCAGGAUACUAUGGCCCUGUGAGCAGGUAUGAGAGGCCAGUAGUGAAGUCACUCACAUUUUAUACCAGUAGAGGACAGUAUGGUCCAUUUGGUGAGGAAAUCGGUACAUAUUUCACUUCAACCACGACAGAGGGAAAGGUGGUUGGUUUCCAUGGAAAGUGUGGGGCUUACUUGGAUGCCAUUGGUGUCCACAUGCAACACUGGCUAGGAAAUACCAGAACAUCCAGAUCCUCUCUCUUCAAGAUUUUCAGUUGAUCUAAUGCUACAUGCUCUUAUCAGCAUUCGUGAACCAUAAACCCAGGCAUGUAUGUAUAAUGGAUAUUGGGUAUCGCAUUUCAACCAGAGCUGCUUGAUUCUAUAGGUCAUCCUGGCGUCUUCCAAUAACACUGCUCUGCUUCAUGUGUACAGAGUCUCCCUAGCUACUUGUUGAUCUCUUUGUACAAUUGCCUGCAAUACUAAUAAUAAUAAUAAUAA